rnacentral:rRNA from 1 species
GGUCAAGAUAGUAAGGGUCCACGGUGGAUGCCCUGGCGCUGGAGCCGAUGAAGGACGCGAU